GUUUUCCCCCCUGAUUUUUUCAAUCAACUAAAAUGUAUCAACAAAAGGAGGGAAUAUUUAUACCCUUCGGGGUGGCCCAGUGGUUUGAGCUUGGGACUUCCAUGUUGGAGGUCUGAAGUUCGAAACCUCUUGCCAGCGAAAGCAAGAGGUUUGUUUUCUGGGUCGAGCUCGUCGCACCAGGCUUGCCUAGUGCGGGUUACCUCUCCUAUGUGGUUUGCGAGUUAUUGCAUAGGAGCGGGGUUUUUACCCUGUGCGCGUAGCGGCUGCGGGUUUCCCUUGUCAUAAAAAAAAAAGAGGGAAUAUUUAUGAAGUUAUAAAAUUAACUUUAAUAAAAUAAAUGAAGUGAUGAAAUAAAUUGUUGGAAUUUGUUAUCUCUUAAAGUCCCAACAUACAUUGUGUAUUUUGAAAUUCCCCUCUAGUGCAUGUCAAUAUUCAUUCUUGAACAAAAUCGUAUCUGCAACAAACACCCUCUUUCCGACUUUCCCUGAAAGAGUUAUUGGUCAUGGCUUUUCUUGGAGUAUUUUGAAUGCUAAAUUCGUGGCAAUCAAGUAUAACUGGUGGAAGGAGGGAAGAGAGAAGCGCAGUGUUAUUUAGUUAAACGAGGCUGGAGUUGGUUUUUAACAUUCUCGUAAGUAUUAAGUCAGGUACUCAGAAGUACACUUUUGUUUUCUGAAUGAAGCUUUUCGUUUGGAUUGUUCUGAUCGUCCCAAAAGCAAAUAAAGUUAUAGGUUUAAGUGGUUAAAAGGUUCAACAUUUUAUACAAAUAUUGAUCACAGUUCACACAUAUCUUAAAUGUGGUUCCUCUAAGUGACGUGUUGCUUUAGUUUGAUCGGUGAUUCAUAUUCUGGCCAGUGUGCUGUCUAUCACAACUCUAUGUAAUAUGAAUUGGUGACUUGAGACGGGGAAAGCAUUAUACAUCCUAUUUUCCCCCUUUCAAAGUUGGUGCAAUAAUUUUUCUCCCUUCUCUUGUUUUUAUGGUGUAAUGGUUGACUGUGUCCUCUUCUAUCUUUUGUGUAAUGCACUCAAGUGCUCAUUAUUUUGUUGUUGUUAUUGCCCCCCAUAUCUGCAUCUCCCCCUUUUCAAACUGUUUGGAAUGCCUUGUUUAAGCCGAGGGUCUAUCGGAAGCAACCUCUCUAUCUCUACUAGUUCUACAAGAUAGGGGUAAGGUCUGCGUACACUCUAUCUUCCCCAGACUCCACUUGUUGGAUUACACUAGGUAUGUCGUCGUUGUAAUAGUUGACAGUGUUAGUGUUUCCUGCAGGCUAUGAAGACGGUUGACUUUUCAUCAGCACAGCCUACUCAGCAGAUGCUUUCUGGAAAUAGUGUCGCCACAGGACCUGGCGUACCACAACAUCUAACUGUACACCAAUAUUCUCAACAAGCUGUUCCUAUUGCACCAUUUGGCAACAUGAUUAGUUAUCCCUUUGUGCAUCAGAACUAUUCAUAUAUGCCAUCUGCAUUCCAACAAGCAUAUCCUGGUAAUAGCAGUUACCAUCAGUCGCUUGCAGCAAUGCUCCCCCAAUAUAAGAAUACCGUUUCUGCCAGCAGCUUGCCUCAGUCUGCCGCUAUUCCUUCUGGAUAUGGUGCUUUUGGAAAUACAACAAAUAUCCCCGGGAACUUCCCAAUCAACCCUCCUGCUGCUCCAUCUGGUACUAACUUAAGUUACGAUGAUGUAUUAAGUGCUCAGUUCAAGGAUACCAAUCAUUUGAUGUCUCUUCAGCAGGUAACCUGUUCUUUUUGUGAGCACAAGUAUUCCUACUGAACUCUCUCUCCAAGAAAUUGCUUGUCAUGACUCAUCAUAAUGUGAAAUGACCAUUUUAAUAGCUACUGUCAGGGCCUCGGGGGUAGCAAAAUCAUCCCAUUUGAACAUGAUCCCCUCAAUCCGUUCUCCAUUUAUUAGUUCAGCCCAUUUUAGUUCCACCCGUUUCAGCCAAUCUACAAAUUGGGCUGAUAUGUUUCCCAAAUUGAUCGAUAGAAACUGUGUCAAAAAUAUUUUCAAAAAUACAUUUUUUUUUUUGGUUAUGUUAUAUAAAACCAUUCACUUUUAAUUCCAUUUCAGCGCAAGUAAUUUUUGGACGGGUCAUGAUCCACUUUUUAGCCUAUUCACCCCAUUUGACGCCUCUAGCUUCUGUUUUUGUUUGGUCAAUUGCAUUUAUCAAUCUCCACCUUGGUGGUUGGCACAGCACAUUAGAAAUGCUCUGUAAUUUCAAUUUGUCAUGGACUUUAUCUGGCAUGCCCUUUGCUUUAUUUGACACUCCUGUUUCCGUCCUCUUUCAGAAUGAGAACUCAGCUUUGUGGCUUCAUGGACCUGGUUCAAGAACAAUGUCAGCUGUUCCCGCCAACACGUAUUAUGGCUUUCAGGGACAGAAUCAGCAAACAGGCGGAUUUAGGCAAGGCCAACAGCCAUCACAGAGCUAUGGAUCUUUGGGGGGAUACCCUCAUUUCUACAAUUCUCAGGCUGGUAUCUCGUUGGACCAACAACAGCAACAAAACCUUCGAGAUGGAUCAUUGUCUGGUUCACAAGGCCAGCCAAAGCAGUCUCAACAACAGUUGUGGCAAAACGGCUACUAAAUCUUACUGCCUCCCUUGUUCUUCUUUUCUUUUCUUUUUUUGGGGUCUUGUAAUGAGUGUGAAAGUGGCCUUUCGAGCUAUUUCUGUUGAAAUAACCCUCGUUCACGAUCCCUGAAGAAACUUGACUGGCUGCUGCCCUGUGCCAUGAGUCUGUACUUUUACGUGUUUUAUCUCAGAGUUAAAUGUAACGUAGGUAAUGUCUGAGCUAACACAGUGCUCUAGGCGUCUCGUCUGUGUUUUCUUUGUUUAACAUGGUUAACCCUCCUUUUCGUCGUUCUUAAUCUAUAGUUAUUAGUGUUAUGUUUCCCAAUAGUAAUCUAUUGCAUUACAAUCCCACUUUCUACUUUCAUGACCAGUCUCUCACAUAAUGUUUUGAAAUAUUGGUAAGUUUCAUGUGGUGAUACUAAUUUUGUGCAUAUACUACUUACCAAAUCUGUCAAAAACAGAGGCGUUUUUCGCUUCUUGGCUGCGGGUUUAUUUGAACUGAUAAUUUUCGAUACAAAGUAGGUAUAUUUUUAAAAUUUAUAAUGAUUUUAAUUUUACAAAUGAGUUUAGUGUUAAGAAAUUACUAAUAGAACAUUUUAAAUUUUGAAUUCGUCUAGUUAGGAGUUCAAGUUUUUUAAGGGAAAACAUAAUUAACCUGUUAUCAUAGGUUGAAUUCCAUUUAUGAUGCAUUUUUUAAAAUUUGUUUAUAUCGAUGUAUAUAACUUACAGAGAUAUAUUUAAGAUGAAAAUUGUAACUAUGAUAUUAAAAAUUGCUUGUGCAAGAAAAAAUAUAUAUGAAAAGAUUAACUUGUUCUUCAUUAAUUAAUCCAAACCAAUUUACACCACAUUACAAUAAUCUUGUACUGAACCCAUAACCCAGAAUGCUUUUAAAAAACUGACCCCUUCUAUAGAUUCAUCUCUCACAAAGCUAAAAACUCAUAAUCUCCACUAACUGGAGAUUAGAGAUCAACAUUUUGUUAAGCUCACUUUCCGGGAACAAAGUUUGUGGCAAAGGCCCAAGCGUUGUUGUUAACUGGGUCAGCAAGGUGGUCGGCAAGGUUCUCCAAUGGACCCUUUCCGGUGACAAUAGCUUGGACAAAGAAUCCAAACAUGGAGAACAUAGCAAGUCUGCCAUUCUUGAUUUCCUUAACCUUGAGCUCAGCAAAAGCCUCUGGGUCAUCAGCAAGGCCCAAUGGGUCAAAGCUACCACCAGGGUAAAGUGGGUCAACAACCUCACCAAGAGGUCCACCAGCAAUACGGUAACCCUCAACGGCUCCCAUCAACACAACUUGGCAAGCCCAGAUAGCCAAGAUGCUUUGUGCAUGGACCAAACUUGGGUUGCCCAAGUAGUCAAGUCCACCCUCACUGAAAAUUUGGGAUCCAGCCUUGAACCAUACAGCUUCGCCAAACUUGACACCGUUACGGGCCAAAAGCUCAGGGAAAACACAUCCAAGAGCACCAAGCAUGGCCCAUCUGCAGUGGAUCACCUCAAGCUCACGGUUCUUAGCGAAUGUUUCAGGGUCAGCUGAAAGUCCAGCAGUGUCCCCAUCCGUAGUCACCAGGAAACUCACCAGUCAAGUAGCUUGGGGCUUCACCAGAGAAUGGGCCCAAGUACUUAACACGGUCAGGACCAUACCAUGGGCUACCAGAGGAGGCAGGCUUGGCCUUGGCAACACUCUUCCUCAUGGUAAUUCUCCCAUUUCCGGUGAUUUCAGAAGAAGAUGGUGAGAGUUUUACCGCCUUACCGGCGAAAGUAGAGGAAGAAAGAGCCAUGGAUGAAGCAGCCAUGAUUUAAUAUUAAUAAAAAGAAAUGAAGUGUAUUUUGAUGGUUGUUGUGUGAUGAUUUAUGUUCAAUUGUGAUUAAUAACACUUAUAUAUAGGAGGGAGGGAAUAUGGUUGGUUCUUAUCUUAUGAUAUCUCUAUCUACAAUUUCAUUGGUUUUCAAGAUUUUAUUAGCCACUUGGCAUUUUAUAAUCCAUCAAUAUUUCAAGAUAUUUUUACUAAUGGGGUCCAACAAAUAUGUGGUUAUGAAUAUUGCAAACUUGUCCUAUAUGCUGUCAAGUAAGAUUCUUUAGUCUAGGUGUUCCAUUGAUAUUUUUCAUCUAAGUGUUACUCUGAAAAACUGAACAAUUAAUUCUAAAACUUAUAAAUUUUCUGAAGCUAAGUAGAGGAAAUUAAAAGGGUUCAAUUGAAUCUCAUUCAUUGAGAGAUUAUACGAAAUAUUAUAUAAAUAAAGUAUUUUUUUUUAUAUAUAUAAAUUGUUGAACUCUCUUGAUACAAAAAAAAAUUGAGUGAGGUCGUAAAUUUAAAACUCAGUUCACAUCUUAGGUGUUAUAUUCUAAUAUUACAUAUUUUGUUUUCUUUUGUAUAAAUUUGUCGCCCCACAACUGUUUAUAGACAGAGUUAAGAGCGGAAGAGAUUUAUUCAGGCUCCAUAGUUGGAAAAUCAUAUGGCGUAUAUAAAGUCAAUUUAUUUAAUAAAAAUAUAUAAAGUUUAUACUGAAAUAUGACAUGACCUUUUCUAUGAGUUUUUUUUUUUGUGAAAAUGAAGGAUACAAAAUUAAUCAGUCCUUUUUAUUUAAUUCUUGUUACUAUUGCUAAUUUGAAUAUACAUGAAUGAAAAUUUAAUUUUCCACUUUCCCCCCACCUCCAUACAUCUUCACGAAGAGCCUAUACAAUAUGUGAAUUAAAUUCAAACAUUAUUGUCUCAUUGUCAAUUUGCCACUCAUUCAAAGUGGCCCUAUUUUACACACAAGUGUGUGAACUAUUGCAUGGCCAUUAGUUACUCUUAUGUUUUAGGUCAAGUGGAUAUUACAUUGAAGUAAUCCACAAUCACACAUGGCAACUCUGGAUUGGUUGUAAGAAAGGAAAUCUAAAAUGUGUUAGAUUUUUGUAUACAUAAUGUAUCUAAAAAAUAUCUAGUCAUCUUUAAUGGUGUUGAGCUUUGCCAAAUGGACAAUAACACCAAAAGGUUAGAUAUUGCAUCCACCAAUGAAAAAUCAGAUAUAGAUAUUCAGGGAUAAUGAUAUAUUGGGCCUAAGGAGUCUAUUUCUAAUUUAUAUACAGUUGGUGCAAGGCCCAAGAAACUCAAACCUCUGAUCAACUCUUCUUUUUGUACAUUCAAAAAGUUUUUCAUUUUACUUUUUACAAUGGCUGCUUCAACAAUGGCUCUUUCCUCCUCUACCUUUGUAGGAAAGGCGGUGAAACUCUCACCAUCUUCUUCUGAAAUCACCGGAAAUGGGAGAAUCACCAUGAGGAAGACUGCUGCCAAGGCCAAGCCUGCCUCCUCUGGUAGCCCAUGGUACGGUCCUGACCGUGUUAAGUACUUGGGCCCAUUCUCUGGUGAAGCCCCAAGCUACUUGACUGGUGAGUUCCCUGGUGACUACGGAUGGGACACUGCUGGACUUUCAGCCGACCCUGAAACAUUCGCCAAAAAUCGUGAAUUGGAGGUGAUCCACUGCAGAUGGGCCAUGCUUGGAGCUCUUGGAUGUGUCUUUCCUGAGCUUUUGGCCCGUAACGGUGUCAAGUUUGGCGAAGCUAUAUGGUUCAAGGCUGGAUCCCAAAUUUUCAGCGAGGGUGGACUUGACUACUUGGGCAACCCAAGCUUGGUCCAUGCACAAAGCAUCUUGGCUAUCUGGGCUUGCCAAGUUGUGUUGAUGGGAGCCGUUGAAGGUUACCGUAUUGCUGGUGGGCCUCUUGGUGAGGUUGUUGACCCACUUUACCCUGGUGGUAGCUUUGACCCAUUGGGCCUUGCUGACGACCCAGAGGCUUUUGCUGAGCUCAAGGUUAAGGAAAUCAAGAACGGAAGACUUGCUAUGUUCUCCAUGUUUGGAUUCUUUGUCCAAGCUAUUGUCACCGGAAAGGGUCCAUUGGAGAACCUUGCUGACCACCUUGCCGACCCAGUUAACAACAACGCCUGGGCCUUUGCCACAAACUUCGUUCCCGGAAAAUAAGUGUAACAAAAAUAGAUCUCUAAUCUUCAAGUAGUGUGAGAUGAGUUUUUAGGUCUUGAGUGAUGAAUCUAUAGAAGGGGUCAAAUUUUUAAGCAUUCUGGGUUAUGGGUUCAGUAAAGAGAUUGUAAUGCACUAAAUGUGGUGUAAAUUGGUUUGGAUUAAUGAAAAACAUGUGAAUCUUUUCAUAUUUAUCUUUUUGUAGCACAUAAACUUAAAUUACAAAUUCCAUAUUAUUCUAAAGAAGUUUACUUGUAAAUAUCGUUAGAUGACCUUAUAGUAUAAAUUUUUUGUUUAUAACAACAAUAUAUACAACUUAGUUUCUUAAAAUGAUUUGAUUAUUAAUAAUAUACAAGUGCACUAUAGAAUAGAGGUUUUUAAAAUGCAUAAAAUGAUAAAGUUUCUAACUGUUCAGUGUUGGAUAUUCUAAGCAAUAAAAAUGAAACAAAUAUUAAGAAGUAUGUUUUAAGGAAUGUUACAGUUACCCAACACUUUGGCCAACCAGUUUACAAAAAAAUGUACAAAGUGAAUAGGUGGUUGUUUAUAUUUUAUACUAAAUAUACAUAUAUUACACUUAUAAUGUACAUAUACACUAUUGUUAUAUACAUGGUGUAUAUUUCAUUCAUGUUGGUAAAUUAGCAGAAUGGUACAUAUCCAUAACUUUUCGUACAAUAUUCUUGAUAAAUGAUGUUCAUGACUACUUCUAAUAUGUAAUUUGUUCUUGUACAAACAACAACAUACCCAGUGUAAUCCCACUAUUCUAUCCACUUAAUUAACCUUAGUAUAUGGCUUUAAAGUAUACUAAAGUUUCCUCUUAAUUUAACUCCAUGAAAAAAAAACAAUUACAUGCGUUUAAUUUUCUUAUUAUUCUCCAUUUUUCUAAUUGACUAUUAGAGUAUUGAUCGUCCUAUGAACGACAGACAUGUCAAAACUUUGAAAUAAAUUAUCACAAGUUCUAUGAAUAAACAAAAUAACCUUCAAGGUCAUAACUUUCACAAGCGGGUCAUCACUUUUUUCACAAGAGUUAUGCCCGGCGUAAGAAUGAAAAUUUAAGCUUUCACAAGAUAUGUCAUACUAGUAGUAACUUUAAUACAAAUUAUUGACAAAUUCAUAAGCAAAACUUGUCUUAUCACAAGUUAUGAUGGACACAAGCAUAACUUUAGUAAAAUUGUUCAUAAGUUCUGUCGAAUUAAUGACAAUUUAUACAUAUCGUUUAAUUGUUAAAGAAAUUUAGCAAAAUUUCUUACCAUCUUUGUUUAACUUACCUCUAGUAUCUCACACAAAAAUCAAAGCUUAAUUAGCUGUUGGGACACUUGAACUUGCAUUACCUUAAUUUCAAUUUUUUUUCUUAUUUUGUCUCAUUGUCAAUUUGCCACAUAUAAAAGUGGUCCUAUUUCAUAUGACAGCCAAAUAAAUUUAAGUGUUUGAACAAAGUGGAUAUUUUAUUGCAAUAAUCAACACUCACACGUGGCAACUAUUGAUUGGAUGUAAUAGAGAAAAUCUUCAUUGGGUUAGAUUUUUUAAAUAUGUAAAGUAUCUAAAAAAAUCUAGUCAUGUUUAAUGAACUUUGCCAAAUGGACAAGUAUGCAAAAUGUUACAAAUUGUCACCCACCAAUGAGAGAGAGAUAUAGAUAUUCAAGGAUAAGGGUAUUGGGCCUGUGGAGUCAUUUAUAUACACUUGGUGCAAGGCCCAAGAAACUCAAGCCUCAAAUCAACUCUUCUUUUUGUACAUUCUAAGAGUUUCCAUUCUACUUUUAUAAUGGCUGCUUCUACAAUGGCUCUUUCUUCCUCUACCUUUGCCGGAAAGACGGUGAAACUCUCACCAUCUUCUUCUGAAAUCACCGGAAAUGGGAGAGUCACCAUGAGGAAGAGUGCUGCCAAGGCCAAGCCUGCCUCCUUUGGUAGCCCAUGGUAUGGUCCUGACCGUGUUAAGUACUUGGGCCCAUUUUCUGGGGAAGCCCCAAGCUACUUGACUGGUGAGUUUCCCGGUGACUACGGAUGGGACACUGCUGGACUUUCAGCUGACCCUGAAACAUUCUCUAAGAAUCGUGAAUUGGAGGUGAUCCACUGCAGAUGGGCCAUGCUUGGUGCUCUUGGAUGUGUUUUCCCUGAGCUUUUGGCCCGUAAUGGUGUCAAGUUCGGUGAAGCUGUAUGGUUCAAAGCUGGAUCUCAAAUUUUUAGCGAAGGUGGACUUGACUACUUGGGCAACCCAAGCUUGGUCCAUGCACAAAGCAUCUUGGCUAUCUGGGCUUGCCAAGUUGUGUUGAUGGGAGCCGUUGAGGGUUACCGUAUUGCUGGUGGGCCUCUUGGUGAGGUUGUUGACCCACUUUACCCUGGUGGUAGCUUCGACCCAUUGGGCCUUGCUGAUGACCCAGAGGCUUUUGCUGAGCUCAAGGUAAAGGAAAUCAAGAACGGUAGACUUGCUAUGUUCUCCAUGUUUGGAUUCUUUGUUCAAGCUAUCGUCACUGGAAAGGGUCCAUUGGAGAACCUUGCCGACCACCUUGCUGACCCAGUUAACAACAACGCUUGGGCCUUUGCCACAAACUUUGUUCCCAGAAAGUGAAGUUCUUGAGAGAGAAAAUGUUACUUCUAGUAUCUUAUUGUUUGAUGACCUUUUAAACCUAGCAAUUGUAAAUUACUAGAGAUUAUUUAUGACGUUUUUUGCCAUCAGGCUAAACUACAAAGUUUUAUCUUGUGUCCAUCUUCACUGUUAAAUUAUGUAACAUUGGUUAUAACUAGGCCAUGAUUUAAAAAAUAAAAAAACAGAAGAUUAUCCUAACCAUAUGGUUAAGACCUAGUGUUUGUUGAUUAAAUCUUAAUCGUUAAUAGUAAGAAGUUGAAAAAAUGGAGACAAGAGAAAAUGAAAGAUUAAUUUCUUUAUGUUAUUAAUAAUGACUAAACAGUUCAAUAAUAUAUGCAUUUUUACACAGUGAUAAAUUUCACAAUCAUAUACUGUUAUAGUAAUUUAUUAUUGAAUCUACAUUCCUUGCUUGAACCUUCAAAACCAAACUCAAUUCAAUAAAAUUUCUCCGUCUGUUAGGUGAUAUAUAUAUAUAGUGGAUGAUUUACCUAGUAAUCGGCAUUCUUGAAGCAACUUCUUUAUUCUAUUCAUUAUCGAUUUUGGGUCUUAUUAAUCUAAUAGAAUAGUCGAUAAGCACAUCACUGCCAGCUAUCACCUACACAAUACACACCCAGAGUAGGAACUAAACAAUGAACUAUUCUCUUUGGCUAUAAACAAUCAAAAUCAAAACAAGCAUACAAUGUGAUUUGAACCGGCCACACCCUCACUUCACGUCUUCUAACAAUGAUUAGAAUGACAAUGACUCUAUCUUUCUCUUCUGAUUCCUAUCGAGUUGCCCAGAGGUUCUUGUGUUUUAAGGUAGUUUGAAAUUUAUGUUUGAAUGACUUUAUAUUUAAAUUUUGUGCUUUGUUUUAUUAGGAAUUUGCGAAAAGAAAAAACGUCAUGUCAUGGCUUUCAUAAGUUUACAUAACUUCUUCACAAGUUAUACUUAAUUCACAAGUUCUGCUUGUUCACUAAGUAAUUAUGACAAUCGUUCUAUGUAGCUUUAAUACAAAUUAUUUACGAAUUUUAUCAGAUUGACAAAAACUUGCAUAUGUUAUUCAAUUGUGUACAAAUUUUAUCGAACUGAUAAUAUCUUAUACUAUUUUCAUUCUACCUAUCUUCCGUAACCCUAAAACAAUUUCUAUUUUAUUUCAAAUGUAUAUAAAAAAGUUAUUGUAUAUUGUCUCAUUGUCUAUUUGAAACUCACACAAGUGGUCCUAUUUCUAUUUCAUUUCAAAUAAAAAGAUGUUUGUGAAUAAUGCAUGGCCAUGAGCUACUCUUAUGGUAUGGUCAAGUGGAUAUUAUAUUGCAAUAAUCUAUAAUCACACGUGGCAACCAUGGAUUGGCUGCAUGAGAGGAAAUCAACAAUGAGUUAGAUUUUUUAAACUUAUAAAGUAUCUUUAAAAAAAAUCUAGUACAAAAUUGUCAUUCACCAAUGAAAAAGCAGAUAAUGAUAUUCAAAGAUAAGGAUUUUGGGGCUGUUAGUCAUUUAUAUACACUUGGUGCAAAGCCCAUGAAACUCAAGCCUCAAAUCAACUCUUCUUUUUUGUACAUUCAAGAGUUUUCAUUCUACUUCUAUAAUGGCUACUUCUACAAUGGCUCUUUCUUCCUCUACAUUUGCCGGAAAGGCGGUAAAACUCUCCCCAUCUUCUUCUGAAGUCACUGGAAAUGGGAGAGUCACCAUGAGGAAGAGUGUUGCCAAGGCCAAGCCAGCCUCUUCUGGUAGCCCAUGGUAUGGUCCUGACCGUGUUAAGUACUUGGGCCCAUUCUCUGGAGAAGCCCCAAGCUACCUGAAUUGGAGGUGAUCCACUGUAGAUGGGCCAUGCUUGGUGCUCUCGGAUGUGUCUUCCCUGAACUCUUGGCCCGUAACGGUGUCAAGUUUAGCGAAGCUGUAUGGUUCAAGGCUGGAUCUCAAAUUUUCAGCGAGGGUGGACUUGACUACUUGGGCAACCCAAGCUUGGUCCAUGCACAAAGCAUCUUGGCUAUUUGGGCUUGCCAAGUUGUGUUGAUGGGAGCUGUUGAGGGUUACCGUAUUGCUGGUGGGCCUCUUGGUGAGGUUGUUGACCCACUUUACCCUGGUGGUAGCUUUGACCCAUUGGGCCUUGCUGAUGACCCAGAGGCUUUUGCUGAGCUCAAGGUAAAGGAGAUCAAGAAUGGUAGACUUGCAAUGUUCUCCAUGUUUGGAUUCUUUGUUCAAGCUAUCGUCACUGGAAAGGGUCCAUUGGAGAAUCUUGUCGACCACCUUGCUGACCCAGUUAACAACAACGCUUGGGCUUUUGCCACAAACUUCGUUCCCGGAAAGUGAAGUUCUUCAGAGAAAAUGUUACUUCUAGUAUCUUAUUGUUUGAUGACCUUGUAAACCUAGCAAUUGUAAAUUACUAGAGAUUAUAUAUGAAGCUUUUUGCCAUCAGGCUAACUGCAAGGUUGCAUGUACUUAGAAAGUUUUAUCUUGUCUCCAUCUUCAGUGUUAAAUUAUGUAACAUUGGUUAUAACUAGGCCAUGAUUUAAAAAAUAAAAAAGAGAAGAUUAUCCUAACCAUAUGGUUAAGACCUAAUGUUUGUUGAUUAAAUCUAAGUCAUUAAUAGUAAGAAGUUGAAAAAAUGGAGACAAGAGAAAAUGAAUGUUUAAUUUCUUUAUGUUAUUAAUAAUGACUAAACAGUUAAAUAAUAUAUGCAUUUUUACAUCGUAGUGAUAAAUUUCACAAUCAUAUACUGUUAUAGUAAUUUAUUAUUGAAUCUACAUCCCUUGCUUGAACCUUCUGCACCGAACUCAAUUAAAUAAAAUUUCUCCGUCCGAUAGGUGCUAUAUAUAUAUUGGAUGAUUAGUAAUGGACAUUCUAGAAGCAACUUAUUUAUUCUAUUAGCUAUUGAUUUUGGUUCUUAUUAAUCUAAUAUAAUAAUUGAUAAGAAAAUAACUGCCGCUGUCAGCUACACAGUACACACCCAGAGUAGGACCUAAGCAAUGAACUAUUCUCUUUGGCAAUAAUCAAUCAAAGUCAAAACAAGCAUACAAUGUGAUUUGAACCACACCCUCACUUCACGUCUUCUGACAACAAUUAAGUACGACAAUGACUUUAUCUUUCUUUUCUGAUUCCUAUCGAGUUGCCCAUAGGUUCUUGUGUUUUAAGGUUAUUUGAGAUUUUUGUCAAACGAACAUACAAUGUGUUUUAAGGUAGUUUACAUAACUUCUUCACAAGUUAUGCCGCACAAAAGAAUGAGAAAUUAAUCUUCCACAAGUUAUGCUUGACAUGUCCUAAUUUGGCAUUAAUGAUUAAUUCACAAGUAAUUAUGACGAUCGUACAUAACUUUAAUACAAGUUAUUUACAAGUUCUGUCAAAUUGACAAAACUUGCAUAUGUUAUUCAAUUGUUCACAAAUUUUAUCGAAUUGAUAACAUUUUAUACUAUUUUCAUUCUACCUAUCUUCCGUAAUCCUAAAACAAUUUCUAUUUCAUUUCAAAUGUAUAUAAAAAAGUUAUUGUACAUUGUCUCAUUGUCUAUUUGCAAAUCACACAAGUGGUCCUAUUUCUAUUUCAUUUCAAAUAAACAGAUGUUUUUGAACAAUGCAUGGCCAUGAGCUAUACUCUUAUGGUAUGGUCAAGUGGAUAUUAUAUUGCAAUAAUCUAUAAUCACACGUGGCAACCAUGGAUUGGCUGCAUGAGAGGAAAUCAACAUUGAGUUAGAUUUUUUAAAAUUAUAAAGUAUCUUUAAAAAAAUCUAGUACAAAAUUGUCAUUCACCAAUGAAAAAACAGAUAAUGAUAUUCAAAGAUAAGGAUUUUGGGGCAUGUUGAGUCAUUUAUAUACACUUGGUGCAAAGCCCAUGAAACUCAAGCCUCAAAACAACUUUUCUUUUUGUACAUUCAAGAGUUUUCAUUCUACUUCUAUAAUGGCUACUUCUACAAUGGCUCUUUCUUCCUCUACAUUUGCCGGAAAGGCGGUGAAACUCUCACCAUCUUCUUCUGAAGUCACCGGAAAUGGGAGAGUCACCAUGAGGAAGACCGCUACAAAGGCCAAGCCAGCCUCCUCUGGUAGCCCAUGGUAUGGUCCUGAUCGUGUUAAGUACUUGGGCCCAUUCUCUGGUGAGUCUCCAAGUUACUUGACUGGUGAAUUCCCUGGUGACUAUGGAUGGGAUACUGCUGGACUUUCAGCUGAUCCUGAAACUUUUUCUAAGAACCGUGAGUUGGAGGUGAUUCAUGGUAGAUGGGCCAUGCUCGGAGCUCUUGGUUGUGUCUUCCCCGAGCUCUUGGCUCGUAACGGUGUUAAGUUUGGUGAGGCUGUAUGGUUCAAGGCCGGAUCUCAAAUUUUCAGUGAGGGUGGACUUGACUACUUGGGCAACCCAAGUUUGGUCCAUGCACAAAGCAUCUUGGCCAUUUGGGCUUGCCAAGUUGUGCUAAUGGGAGCCGUUGAAGGUUACCGUAUAGCUGGUGGGCCUCUCGGUGAGGUUGUUGAUCCACUUUACCCUGGUGGUAGCUUCGACCCAUUAGGCCUUGCUGACGACCCAGAAGCUUUUGCUGAGCUCAAGGUAAAGGAAAUUAAGAACGGCAGACUUGCUAUGUUCUCCAUGUUUGGAUUCUUUGUUCAAGCUAUCGUUACCGGAAAGGGUCCAUUGGAGAACCUUGCCGAUCACCUUGCGGACCCAGUAAACAACAACGCUUGGGCCUUUGCCACAAACUUUGUCCCCGGAAAGUGAACUUCUUGAAAUAGUGCCUCUUCUAGUAUUUGUUUGUUUGAUAGGCCAAUGUAGCUACUGUAAAUUAUAGGAGAUUAUAUAUGAAUUUUUAUUUGGUCUCCAAUAAUUAUGUAGUUCUAUAUAUCUUUAUACCUACAAUUCACAAUAGCAGUAUGUAUUUGCAUAUCAUGUGAAAAGUAAAAGUGAAUAGAAAAUUCCUUACUAUAGGACUUUUUAAAUUACAUAAAAUUGGGAAAGUUGGUAAUUACUAGAAAACUAUUCCAUCAAGUUAGAAACUCAAGGUAUAUUAGGAACAAAGAUUUAGAAAGGGAUUAUCAAAAAGUGAAAAAAAGUAAAUUAAAAUGUAUCUGACGUGGCAAAAACCUAUGAUAAAUGUAAAGUAUCUUUCACCAGAUUUCUUUCUACUUAAAAAAAGCAAAUCGAAAUCAACAGACUAUAUAUCACUGAUUUAUCCUUCAUCGUUUUUUGUGAAAUCGACAAAUAGAGUCUGUUUAAGGGAUAAUCGAUCCUGUCCGUCGAUCGGUUUUAAAAGUCCGACAAACAGUGUUGAGUUUUUAGAAAUAUACAUAAAACUGUAGCUACCUGGAAUCGAAUCUAGCUAUAUUUUUUAUCGUUCGAUCACACACGCUCUACAAUGAAAUAUUUUCUUUAUUUUUAUUUAUAUUCUUCAAUUAUAAUUUUACACUUCAACGUCGAUCCUGUUCAACGGUAGAAAAUAUUACAGAACCAUUUGAUGAAAUCUGAAAGAAAAUGGAUAAAUGACCGAUACUACUAUAUGAUUAGUCUUUAGAUAACAAGUAUUGUUCGUAUUCUUAUAAUCGAUUUAAUAAGUAUCUUCUUUUAUGGUUCAUAUUAUGUAAAUAUUUUUCUUGGAAAGAUUGGUAAAUGUAUUUUUCUAAAUUUAAUUUUGUUAUUAUUUUGUUUUCCUAAUUGACAUUCAGAGUAUAAAUUAGUCAUUGAAAUAAUUGCUAGAAAAUAAUUUCAAUUUUUUCAUUUGUCUUAUUAUUAUGAAGAGGUUACACCACUCAUACAAUAUGUGAACUAUUGCAUGGCCAUAAUUUUUUAGAUGUGGAUUUUGCAAGAUUCCACUAUAUAUCACACGUGGUGACUCAGGAUUGGCUGUAAGAGAGAAAAAUCAACAUUUUGUUGGAUUUUUUUGGACAUAAUAAUGUAUCUAAAAAAUAUCUAGUCAUGUUAAACAAAUUGUCAUCCACCAAUGAGGAAAUAGAUAAUGAUAUUUUAGGAUAAGAACUUUAGUUCUUAGAGUCAUUUAAAUAUACUUGUUACAAAUCAAAUAUUCAUUCAGUGUAGUAGCAACAUUCAAGAGUAUUUCAUUUUAUUUCUAUAAUGGCAACUUCUACAAUGGCUCUUUCUUCCUCUUCUUUUGCCGGAAAGGCGGUGAAACUCUCACCAUCUUCUUCUGAAAUCACUGGAAAUGGGAGAGUCACCAUGAGGAAAACCGCUGCCAAGGCCAAGCCAGCCUCCUCUGGUAGCCCAUGGUAUGGUCCUGACCGUGUUAAGUACUUGGGCCCAUUCUCUGGUGAGUCUCCAAGUUACUUGACUGGUGAAUUUCCUGGUGACUAUGGAUGGGAUACUGCUGGACUUUCAGCUGAUCCUGAAACUUUUUCUAAGAACCGUGAGUUGGAGGUGAUUCAUUGCAGAUGGGCCAUGCUUGGAGCUCUUGGUUGUGUUUUCCCUGAGCUCUUAGCUCGUAACGGUGUCAAGUUCGGUGAAGCUGUAUGGUUCAAGGCUGGAUCCCAGAUUUUCAGCGAGGGUGGACUUGACUACUUGGGCAACCCUAGUUUGGUCCAUGCACAAAGCAUCUUGGCAAUUUGGGCUUGCCAAGUUGUGCUAAUGGGAGCCGUUGAAGGUUACCGUAUUGCUGGUGGGCCUCUCGGUGAGGUUGUUGACCCACUUUACCCUGGUGGUAGCUUCGACCCAUUGGGCCUUGCAGAUGACCCAGAGGCUUUUGCUGAGCUCAAGGUAAAGGAAAUCAAGAACGGUAGACUUGCUAUGUUCUCCAUGUUUGGAUUCUUUGUUCAGGCUAUCGUCACAGGAAAGGGUCCAUUGGAGAACCUUGCCGAUCACCUUGCUGACCCCGUUAACAACAAUGCCUGGGCCUUUGCCACAAACUUUGUCCCCGGAAAGUGAACUUCUUGAAAUAGAGCCUCUUCUAGUAUUUGUUUGUUUGAUAGGCCAUUGUAUAGCUAGCUACUGCAAAUUACAGGAGAUUAUAUAUGAAAUUUUUAUUUGGUCUCCAAUA
rnacentral:lncRNA from 1 species